GCCUCCGUGGCGCAAUCGGUUAGCGCGUUCCGCUGUUAACCGAAAGGUUGGUGGUUCGAGCCCACCUGGGGGCG